rnacentral:misc_RNA from 1 species
GAUGAAGAACGCAGCGAAAUGCGAUAAGUAAUGUGAAUUGCAGAAUUCAGUGAAUCAUCGAAUCUUUGAACGCACAUUGCGCCCGCCAGCAUUCUGGCGGGCAUGCCUGUUCGAGCGUCAUUUCAACCCUCAAGCUCUGCUUGGUGUUGGGGCCCUACGGUUGACGUAGGCCCUUAAAGGUAGUGGCGGACCCUCUCGGAGCCUCCUUUGCGUAGUAACUAACGUCUCGCAUUGGGAUUCGGAGGGACUCUUGCCGUAAAACCCCCAAAUUUUCUAAUGGUUGACCUCGGAUCAGGUAGGAAUACCCGCUGAACUUAAGCAUAUCAAUAAGGGAGGA